UCUUUUAGUUGCAAAUCUCUCAAGUGUCUUAUAUUUCUCCCUUUAUUAAGGAUAUUAGGAGGAUAAGGGUCAAUUGGAGAUAAGGAGGAGGAAAUUUGCAAAGGAGUGUGGUUUCUUGACAUAAGGUAAUGGUUAAAGCGGUAACGGCGAGUGGCGGUCAAGGAGGCUUGGGGCAUGCAUGUUUUUGUUCUAGCUAAACUUAUGAUGUUAUAUAAAGG